UGGGUGAAUAGAUACACAGGAAAAGCACAGAUCUAAUAAUAUUUGUGGACACUCAGAAAAGUAGCAGCAGCAGCAGGACAGCACUGAAGCAGGACCUUGUUUGAAUGCUCAAGCAAAGGCAACUCCAAACAACUUCCUGAUAUAGAGGAAUGAAGACUCAGAAAGCAAUAUAUUCUGUGCUGCAGUUAGGACUGGAGUACCAGAUUGCUUUGUGAACCUAGUCCAGUGGCAAGAAGAAAUGCAUCUGAAAAGCAAAAGGUGAGCUUAUAGAGCUGCUCUGUAGAGUAACACAAUAAA
rnacentral:lncRNA from 1 species